GAUGAACGCUGGCGGCAUGCCUUACACAUGCAAGUCGAACGGUAACAGGUCUUCGGAUGCUGACGAGUGGCGAACGGGUGAGUAAUGCAUCGGAACGUGCCCAGUAGUGGGGGAUAGCCCGGCGAAAGCCGGAUUAAUACCGCAUACGACCUACGGGUGAAAGGGGGGGAUCGCAAGACCUCUCGCUAUUGGAGCGGCCGAUGUCAGAUUAGGUAGUUGGUGGGGUAAAGGCCUACCAAGCCGACGAUCUGUAGCUGGUUUGAGAGGACGACCAGCCACACUGGGACUGAGACACGGCCCCGACUCCUACGGGAGGCAGCAGUGGGGAAUUUUGGACAAUGGGCGCAAGCCUGAUCCAGCCAUGCCGCGUGCAGGAAGAAGGCCUUCGGGUUGUAAACUGCUUUUGUCAGGGAAGAAAUCCCUUGGGUUAAUACCUCGGGGGGAUGACGGUACCUGAAGAAUAAGCACCGGCUAACUACGUG
rnacentral:rRNA from 1 species